AUGCAGUGCUUCUCCUGGACCAUCUCUCUGGCUUUCCAAAGUUUCUUUCCUCAGAAACAGAGCCCUGACCUGCAUAUUGACACUACCCUGGUGCUGUGCCAGCUCUGGUUCAGGGAUGAAGAUGCUGAUAAGCACUUCUUUUUUCUUGUGUGCCUGACGGACACCUGCAAUACUAUGCCUGGGAUUUUAAGUAGAAGACUCCUUAUGCAGUAUUAGAACUGUUAUUCUAUCAGAUUACAAAGCAUAGCUAUACAACAAGCCUCAGAGAAUAUUUUCAAUCAUUGAUCAAAAACCAGAAGGAAACAGUUUCAGUUGAAAAUACCAUCUAGCUGAAAACACACAUCUCAUUUUAUGACUGUGGAUAAAGGUCUUUGCUGAAGUUUAUGUAAUUUAUGCACUGAUUCUUACAAGUGUAAUUCCAUAUGCUGUGCUAUAUAAAAUCAUCACAAGCUACCCUUCUAUAGUAGACAGCGGAAACUAUUAGAAUUAAAUGUUCUGUGAAUGGAGUCCAGUGUUGGAAGCCAGUUCAAAGAAACUUUAUCUAAGCAAACUGGAAUGGGAGAUUUCCUUGUAGUUUUACAGUAAUUAUUAGGCCUAUGCUAAACUGCUCAGGAAAAUCUGUAGUACCUUUGAAAUAAGGUAAUGCAAAUAUCAGUCUCCUUUACUUGGAAAAGUUUAGUAGUAUGAAAAUAUUUAUUUAUUUAUCUAUUAAGUUAUUGCAUGCUGAACCUUUCUCUAAAACCUCUUUGCAUUUAAUUACUCUUUUUCCUGCAGGCAGACUUUGAAUAUUCCUAAACUUAAAUACUUUGGUUAGCCUACUAACAACAAUAAAAAAAGUCUAUUAACUAUCCA
rnacentral:lncRNA from 1 species